rnacentral:misc_RNA from 1 species
UCCGGUUUGGCACCGGCAGUCUCUCAUGAGUCCCCGACAUGACUCGCUGGCAACAUGAGACAGGGGUUGCGCUCGUUGCGCCACUUAAGGCAACACCUCACGGCACGAGCUGACGACGGCCAUGCACCACCUGUGCAGGCUCCGAAGAGCACCGUGUUUCCACGGUUUCACCCUGUAUGUCAAGCCCUGGUAAGGUUCUUCGCGUCGCAUCGAAUUAAACAACAUGCUCCGCUGCUUGUGCGGGUCCCCGUCAAUUCCUUUGAGUUUUAGCCUUGCGGCCGUACUCCCCAGGCGGGGUGCUUAAUGCGUUAGCUUCGGCACGGACGGAGUCGACACCGCCCACACCUAGCACCCAUCGUUUACGGCGUGGACUAC